UACGGGGGGAGCAAGCGUUGUUCGGAUUUACUGGGCGUAAAGGGCGCGUAGGCGGCCACCGCAAGUCAAUUGUGAAAUCUCCGGGCUUAACUCGGAAAGGUCAACUGAUACUGCGGGGCUAGAGUGCGGAAGGGGCAACUGGAAUUCUCGGUGUAGCGGUGAAAUGCGUAGAUAUUCGGAAGAACACCAGUGGCGAAGGCGGCUCACUGGACUGGUAUUGACGCUGAGGUGCGAAAGCGUGGGGAGCAAACAGG
rnacentral:rRNA from 1 species